UUGAAUUAUAUUGUUAAAACCGAGACAAUUACUUCAUUAUAUUGAGACAUAACAGAACAAAAUUUAGAUCAGAUUUGAACCCCUUUAGAUCUGGUUCUCUUGAGUAUAUUCCUAUAGUUGCAUCAUUAGUUCUACUUGAAGAGAAUAGUGCUAUAAUAUAAAAUUGUUGCAGCCAUUCUUUCUCUGAUGAAGUCUAAUUUUCAGGCAAAGCUGGUGGUAGUUGCUACCAUCUUGCUUCUUCUCUUGGACCAUUUUCCAGCAACUUUUUCACUAUAUCUUACUGGUGGAGAGAAGAGUUCAAUGCAUGAAGCUGAAGCCUACAAUAGCAGAUCAUAUGGCUCCAAGAGCUUGGCUUGGAGAAGAGGAGGUUGUUAUAGGUGUUGGACUAAAAGUGUGUUCAUAAGAAGAAGCAAAAUUAAUAAAGAAAACUUCCCAACCCGGAGAUCAAUGCGGCUUUCACCACCACCGCCACCUGUGGGUGGCCGACAGAGAGCAAUGAGUGUGCCUCCAGCUCCAGCCUCAGCUUCAGCCUCAUCGUCCAACUUUAAUUAAACCUUUAUUUUUUGCUAUCUUUAUGGAUCUGAUUAAUAGUUCAUUAGGUUCUUGGUAUAUAUAUACAUAUAUAUAUAUUGAUAGUGUCAGUGGCUUCCUCAAAUGGAAGUUUGUGUU